UGCGGAUUAACACAACGGCAGUGUACACGGCUUUGACCCGUGGUACGAAAGAUCGACACUUUCAUCCGCAACCA
rnacentral:tRNA from 1 species